CUUCGCAGUCUCUCCUCCACAGGCACCACCCACUCCAUGGCUCCACCCCUCUCCCCGCAUCCGCCAUCGCAUCGGCGGCGGCCAUGCCACGAGGAGCUCCACAGCCCGGCGGCGGCCCCGGAUAACGGCAGUGUCUGGGGCAGCCUCGCGAGCCCGCCCGAUGACCACCGCAUCGGCCUGCGCAUCGCCGUCACCAGCAACCGAGCCGCCGCCCCCGCAGCAGCGACUGAGCUGCCUCCCUCCUCCUCUGCCGCCGCGCGCCGUCUCCUCCAGACGCCGCCGGGAUUUUGCAACCAGCAGACGGCGAGGUCGUGUCGCCCGCAACCGGCCUCGGGCGCUUCCAUGCCGCCUUUUGAGCUCCGCGGCCGCCGCCGGGGAUUUGCAGCCAGCGGACGGCGAGGUCGUCUCGCCCUUAACCGGCCUUGGACGCAUCCAUGCCUCUUUUUGAGCCCCGCGGAUCUCCAUCGCGCGCUGUUCCCGAUGCCCCUGGACCUGGAGCCACCGUGAUUCUGGUCAGGGAGCGUGCGGCGGCGGCUCUGGCGGAGAGGGCGGCGGGAAGGCGAUGGGGCGCGAUGCGGUCGUCGACGACGGGGAGCUCCGCUAGCCGGCUGCAUAUGUAUCCUCUCCCAAUUUAGACGGUGAAGACGCGGACGCCGCAUGCUGCGUGCCGGCAGGUCUAGGAGUCGGGGCUGCGGAGGAUUUGCGUCGGCCGCCAGGAGGUCCAGGCCAGAGGCCAUCGUCUGCUAUUUCCCGUCGCUGUCGCGUGAUCAGUAGCUACUGUCAGGUAGUGAGACGCCUGCAGGUAUUCAGGUGUCUUCCGGUUCUCCGUCUUCUCUUCACUUUUUUUGUGUGAAAGGGCUAUGUUAGGUGCAAAUGAUGGCAAAUUUUACUCGAUGUUCAUGUUCAUUAGAGUCUAUUUUAGGUGCAGACAUAAUAGCCACGGCAACUUCAUUAUGUUUUUUGCCAUGACAUUCAGUUCUGGGUUAGUUCUUCCAUUUAGGUGGUGAUUUUGUGGACAUUAAGUUUUGCCAUGACACAUCCAAUUAGGAUGGCAAAUUCAUUGUAUGAUUCAUGACAUUUUUUAAUGGAGCACGACAAUUUUGCUUUAUCGACAACGGCAAAUUUAAUUCACCCCUCAUGGCAAAUUUUGGUAAUGGAUCAUUGCAA
rnacentral:rRNA from 1 species